rnacentral:tRNA from 1 species
GGAGACGUAUCGAAGUGGCCAUAACGAGCUCGACUCGAAAUCGAGUUGCCCUCAGGGGCACGUGGGUUCGAAUCCCACCGUCUCCG